AUUGAACGCUGGCGGCAGGCCUAACACAUGCAAGUCGAGCGAGCGGCGGACGGGUGAGUAAUGUCUGGGAAACUGCCUGAUGGAGGGGGAUAACUACUGGAAACGGUAGCUAAUACCGCAUACCAUCAGAUGUGCCCAGAUGGGCUUAGCUAGUAUGUGGGGUAACGACUCACCUAGGCGACGAUCCCUAGCUGGUCUGAGAGGAUGACCAGCCACACGGGAACUGAGACAGGGUCCAGACUCCUACGGGAGGAAGCAGUGGGGAAUAUUGCACAAUGGGGGCAGGCCUGAUGCAGCCAUGCCGCGUGUGGGAGGAAGGCCUUCGGGUUUUAAAGCACGUUGAGCGGGGAGGCGUUACCCGCAGAGGAAGCACCGGCUAACUCCGUGCCAGCAGCCGCGGUAAUUC
rnacentral:rRNA from 1 species